rnacentral:rRNA from 1 species
AGUGAACGCUGGCGGUAGGCCUAACACAUGCAAGUCGAACGGCAGCACAGCAGUAGCAAUACUGUGGGUGGCGAGUGGCGGACGGGUGAGGAAUACAUCGGAAUCUACCUUUUCGUGGGGGAUAACGUAGGGAAACUUACGCUAAUACCGCAUACGACCUUAGGGUGAAAGUAGGGGAUCGCAAGACCUUACGCGGAUAGAUGAGCCGAUGUCGGAUUAGCUAGUUGCGGGGUAAAGGCCCACCAAGGCUACGAUCCGUAGCUGGUCUGAGAGGAUGAUCAGCCACACUGGAACUGAGACACGGUCCAGACUCCUACGGGAGGCAGCAGUGGGGAAUAUUGGACAAUGGGCGCAAGCCUGAUCCAGCCAUACCGCGUGGGUGAAGAAGGCCU